CAGCAAGAUACAACCAGGGCGGCUUCUUCAUCUUCCACUGCCGCAUUCUGCAGCCUCAGAGAACUUCCGUCGGACCUGUUUCCCUGCAUGGGCAAUAAUAGUCAGAACACACGGAAGAUGAAAUAAUUACUUUUGGGGCUGAAAACCGGCUUAGAAUUAGGAGAUCUUGAUCAGCAAUAAUUCCCAGGGACAGACCUUCCUACACGUCUAAACCACACGUUAUUCCAAAAUCUACAUCCUGUGGUUCACCUGCUGUUUUCACCAACUACAUGAGAUUCCUCAGAACUUCUGAAGUAUCUACAGAGCAGUUGUGAAAUUACAUUUUGGGGGACCAUUUCAACAACGUGGUGUUUGCUCUCAGAAACAAGUGUCAAACUGUGCCAGAUAAAGCUGCCUCAUUCAACAGAGGAUUAUUUGCAGUGCACAAAAAAUGUAUUUGAUAGUUGUUACUAUGUAGACGGAUGAGGGCACUUGCAAGGAAACAGAUUUGGGGAAAUGAUGUGCUACAGGAAUAAGGAAGACAUUUUCUAUCUUAACAAGAUUCUUGUGCAAUCUUCAUUUUUGAAUAACUUUGACAGGAUGAAGUUAAUAUUAAAAAACCACACCAAACCUUUAAGCACUUUGUUGGGAGAAGCGUACUAUAGCAACGGGCUUCAACAUGAGAGAUGUCAUACCUGAAGUCAGAAGCUGUUUAUAAAGUAAAAUAUGGGAUCCAGCCAACCAACGAAACAAAACCCAGAAGCAUUAAGAAUCAAUUUUUUAAGUGGCAUGAAGAUAAGGAUAUUGUUACUUGGAAACUGUAGUUAUGUUAAUAAUUUAUCCACUGCCUUGUACAAUACACAUUAGAUCCUCUAAGAAGCACACUAUUUUGUUUUGUGUAGGCUGUGUACACACAUACCCCCAAAAAAAAGUCUGAGAUGACUGGAUACUGAUGGAUCUCCUCCGGUGAUAUUUACCUUUAGGGAAUAAUAAAUAUACAGCUUAUUUAUCA